UCUGCCUAACAAAUAGAUCUAUAAAGGCUAUGCCUUCAAGGCUGCAUUUGACUCUCUCUCUCAUCUCCCCUUUACCAGAUGCCUGCAAAAGCUGUUCAGUCCUGAUCCAAGCAAGACUUCUUCAGCGUUCGUCAAGUCUACAUCUCUGGUGCGGCACCUGGUGAUCAGCUUAUGUGACCCAUUGAGUUGUCCAGGGAAAUGCAGUGGACAAAGCACACCUUGGCUUCAGCAAAGCUUUUGACCAACUCUCCAAUGAGAUCCUACUGUAAGGAAUGCCCCGUUCGUCAAGAGAAACUCCCGUGACACGUGUGGUUCACAAAAGAGGUUUACUCAGGCGUAACGCAACAGUUACAAACAAAGCCAGGACUGGCUUGGCACAUUUUGUUGUACAAUUUAUAACUCUCCCCUUCCCACGGUUCGCCCCGUCGUCAGGUUACAAGUUACGGAUUAUCGAUACCCCAAUAAUCCCCCUUAAUGUUCCAAAUGGCAGGUUCAGCCAGUAUCCCAUUGUCUUAGAUUGCCUGCCCCUCCGGCGUGGGCUUGUUUCCUCAGGGUUCUUUCAGUUGCACGCCACACCAGGGUUUGCUUGAUCGCGCGGUGAUCUCCUUUCCAUGACUCGCGGCUUUGUUCUUUGUCUCACGCGCGCCGCUCAUCAGGGUGGAUACAAAACGUCCACUCUGCGGUUUCCUGUUAACUGGGCGCAGGUGGCCCAUUAAUCAGCUGCGGCUCUACUUCCUCUUUUACCUCGGCUUGCGAGUGGGCGGUAGUAUUGGCUCAGCGCGGCUGGCCGGUUUUCCUAGCAGUGCCGCGCCAGCUGAACCUGACACCUACUACAGGAGAUAGCAAAAAUGUGGACUGGAUCAGACUGGACUGUCUAGACUACUAUUAGAUCAACAGAGAGCUAGUUGAACAACUAUAGGGAGUCCUUGACUUAUGACGGCAAUUGGGACCGGAAUUUCCAUCACUAAGCAAUGCGGUCGUAAAGUGCAACCACA